rnacentral:tRNA from 1 species
AGGGUUGUAGCUCAGUGGUAGAGCACUUGCCUAGCAUGUGUGAGACCCUGGGUUUGAGUCUCAGCACCACAU